UACAAAGAUUUGUGCUCUCAUAACGAUAUACUUAUUGGCUUUCACCAUCUUUGCAUCAGAUAUGUCUGUGAAAUCAGAAGGAAAGGGAUUUUGUAACAAAGAUGCUGAUUGUGAUCCUUGUCCGUCUCCAGGACAACAUAGGAAAUGUGACAUUCACCGAUGUUUUUGUAUUGGUGGACCAUAUAAAAUUUCUACUCUAAGAUCCCCAAUUGCAAACUGAGAGAAACAUAUAUUGUUAUGCAAUCAUAAUGUAUGAAUAAAAUAAUAUAUAAGAGUAAUAAAUUUCAUAGUUAAUACAA